CCUUUUAAAAAUCCAUACAGGGGUUUUGUUACACCUCCCUUGUUUUAUCCCUGCUCUUUCCGGGUCCCCUCUGCCCUCCUCACCUUCCCCCUGUUCUCUCUGUGUCCCCUCUCUAUCUCCCCUCCCGCACCCCCCCCAAGCUGGUCGGCUGCCUCCUGGUGUGGAGCGUGGUCUCACCUCCUCUCCAUUGCUCUUCUCACAGGUCCUGGCUGCUGUUACUGGAACUGCCCAGCAGGUGGCGCCUGGAACAACUUUGAGAAACA